UACGUAGGGAGCAAGCGUCGUCCGGAUUUACUGGGUGUAAAGGGUGCGUAGGCGGCUUUGCAAGUCAGAAGUGAAAUCCAUGGGCUUAACCCAUGAACUGCUUUUGAAACUGCAGAGCUUGAGUGGAGUAGAGGUAGGCGGAAUUCCCGGUGUAGCGGUGAAAUGCGUAGAGAUCGGGAGGAACACCAGUGGCGAAGGCGGCCUGCUGGGCUCUAACUGACGCUGAGGCACGAAAGCGUGGGUAGCAAACAGG
rnacentral:rRNA from 1 species